rnacentral:rRNA from 1 species
GAUGAACGCUGGCGGCGUGCCUAAUACAUGCAAGUCGAGCGAACGGACGAGAGGCUUGCUUCUCUGAUGUUAGCGGCGGACGGGUGAGUAACACGUGGAUAACCUACCUAUAAGACUGGGAUAACUUCGGGAAACCGGAGCUAAUACCGGAUGAUAUUUUGAACCGCAUGGUUCAAAAGUGAAAGACGGUCUUGCUGUCACUUAUAGAUGGAUCCGCGCUGCAUUAGCUAGUUGGUAAGGUAACGGCUUACCAAGGCAACGAUGCAUAGCCGACCUGAGAGGGUGAUCGGCCACACGGGAACUGAGACACGGUCCAGACUCCUACGGGAGGCAGCAGUAGGGAAUCUUCCGCAAUGGGCGAAAGCCUGACGGAGCAACGCCGCGUGAGUGAUGAAGGUCUUCGGAUCGUAAAACUCUGUUAUUAGGGAAGAACAUAUGUGUAAGUAACUGUGCACAUCUUGACGGUACCUAAUCAGAAAGCCACGGCUAACUACGUG